rnacentral:sRNA from 1 species
UCUAGUUUUCUAGCGAAUGGUUCAUUCUUUUUUACUGUGAACUGUUUUAAUUUUUCAGCGUCUGAGGAAGGUCUUUUAGCCAUAGGGAUAGGCUACUAGAAUGUUAACCGAGCUGAAAGUCAGGCUUAGGCCUGGUCUCCUAUUAAUUAUUUACCAAAAGAAUUCAGUAUUAUAAUUGUAACAUAAGCGUAAAAAACUUAUAAAACAACUUUUAACAACGGAUCUCUUGGUUCUCGCAUCGAUGAAGAACGUAGCAAAGUGCGAUAACUAGUGUGAAUUGCAUAUUCAGUGAAUCAUCGAGUCUUUGAACGCAACUUGCGCUCAAUGGUAUUCCAUUGAGAACGCCUGUUUCAGUAUCAAAAACACCCCACAUUCAUAAUUUUGUUGUGAAUGGAAUUGAGAGUUUCGGCUUUAUUGCUGAAUUCUUUAAAAUUAUUAGGCCUGAACUAUUGUUCUUUCUGCCUGAACAUUUUUUUAAUAUAAAGGAAUGCUCUAGUAAAAAGACUAUCUCUGGGGCCUCCCAAAUAAAUCAUUCUUAAAUUUGAU